GGGAUCCCAAGAGGAAUGCAACCAGGGAUCCGACGAGGGAUGCCACGAGGGAUCCCACGGCUACUGCCGGCCAAGGGGGGAUGGAGUCUAGUAGUUUGGGUUUUAAGUUUCAGUGUUUUAGGCUAUUAAGGGUUGCUUUUUUUUUGUAGAUAAGAGAUACAAAUAUGUUGAUCCAAUAAUAUUUUGAUGACUAGCAACUGCACUUCUAGUAAGACCAAUUAUGGCCUCAAUAGUUCAUUGUGCUUUAAUGUGAUUACUAUGUGUGGCUGUAUAGGCAUGUGCUUUAUUGAUUUAUUCUUUCGUGAAGCCUUAUUCAUGCUUAUGCAGUUGGCCGAGACAUGGAUGAAGCAUUAUCCUAUGUGAGGAAAAUGAAGUGAAAAGGCAUUGAAAUGAGUUUGGUGACAUACAGUAUCCUUGUGGGUGGAUUUGCAAAAAUUGGUGAUGCUGCUGAAGCUGCAGAUAAAUAGUUUAAGGAGGCCAAAAAGAGGAAUACAACCUUAAAUGCUAUCUAUGCUGAUCAUUGGUGAGUACAUUUAAAUGAUCCAGUUUAAAUUUAAUUCCCUGAGUUAUUUUCUGAAUAUUAUGAAUUUAUUGACACAAGGUGUUAGGCAUUUUUAAAGCCGAUGCCUGAUCAUCUAAUUGCAAACUCAAACCCAGGGUCGAGGGACCUUCUUCAGCUGGAGAAACUUGUUUUUUGGUUUAUAGGUCGGACCAGGUCAGCUCAUAAAUGAGUUACAUAUCUAGGGGUUGAAUAUGUUCAUGCUCUACUGGUUUCCAAGAGAUAUUGCCUAUCAUUUGCCAUUUUUCCUAGGGAACUGAUGGGCUAAACACUCACUUACUUACUGAGAUUUAUACAUAUUUAUUUCUAAGGACAAUAUUAUUCAGAGGUUGCUGUGUGUGCUUCCUUGGUUUUGGGAACAGUUACAAAGUAACGUAUGUUCUCAUAUUUAUUGGAAUCCCAUCCAAAUCAAGUUCUUCUUUUUGUAGAA